ensembl:lncRNA
UAAUUGUCGAUAAAAGUCUUUGAAACGUAUGAAGUGCUUGUAAUUAUAUUUCAGUACAUCACAGAAACAACUGAAACAAAGAUCUAAAAGCAGUUUAGCAGCAAACUUUUUGAAAACUAAUAUUUAUGUAAUUCUCAAAACUUUUGGCCACGACUGUAGAUAUGGGUGUCGUGCCAUAAAAUAUUUUGAAUACGACUAACUUUGUAUUUAACGUGAAUUUAAUAAAAACAUUGUAAGUUUCUAAUUAAAACACUUUGUACAGAAAGAGAGCAAUUUAGCCUACAUUAUCAAAGAACAUUUUUACUGACUUUAGUCUAGCUAGAGUUGAAGCACUCUCAGAAACUCCCAUUAUAAUCACUGAAGCUGUUUACACUGUGAAAUGAAUAUCUUACAUUCGCACGCACUUCUGCACUUUUUUGUUUAUGAUGAGAGAUUUCUUUAGAGAACAGAAUCUGUCAAGCCUGUGUGCACUGAACAAAACACAGGUAUUUCAGCGAUGACUCAUCUGAACGACUCUGAUUGGUCAUUGCAUUCAUAAGCUCAACAGAACCAUGUGUGAUUGGUUAUAAUACAAAGCACUGUGAAAAUGCGUCUGGCUCAGGGCCAGCCAAAGCACUGAUGCAGAUUUGAAUUUAGCAGUUGGUGAUGUGCCGCACUGAAUCAAACAUAACAAAUAUUAUUUGGACAUUUUCUUGGCUUUUGGAAGCUGCAUUCAAAAUACACUAGGCUCAAAAAUCUGAGGGGGAACAUGCCCCUACGCUUUAAUUGGGCAUGACGCCUCUUUUUGCACAGCAAAAUUCCAUGAGUGAAAUGCAGGCUUAAUGAACCUUAUGUUUUACUGCAGAAAGUUUAUGUGAAUGUGCCAGACAUUAGAUUUAUUAGCCGCUACAGGUAAACAACUAGAUUAGAAGAAAACAGCCAAUUAAUGUCAUUAGCAUGUAAAAGAGCACCAGUCAACGUUCAAAUUCUUUACUUGAGAACGGUGAGUGGCAAGAAAUCCAUAGAUUUCCAAACACCUGCAGUACUCUGACAUGCCACAAGAAAAAGUCCCUGUUUAGAACCUGAUGUAGUGGCGCUAAGCACUUUUUUCACAUCAAAGACUGAUUUUAUAAAUCUAAAUGUUGGCAUGGGUUUUAGUGUAUAUGCCCACUCUAAGCUCAAAUCUGUGCAUACGCAUGUAUUAUAAAUGAGGCCCCUGAUCUAAAAUACAUAUGAAGAAAUUGUUCACCACUGAAAGUUUUGGGGCCUCAUUUGUAAAACGUGCAUAUGCACAGAUUUGAUCUUAAAUUGUGCGUAUGCUAAAAUCCACCUAAAUGUUCAGUUCAAGUUUUAAGUUUGUUGAACUAUGACUUGCGAUUUCACCCUGUUGACCAAUGGAAAGCUACUAUCACCAAUGGAUAACUAGAAAAUAAUAAUUAAAAAGGAGCUCCAAACUGUCUCAUAAGGUUAAAAACCAAAGAACCAGUUCCUUUACCAAAAUUGAUAUUCAUGGUGGUUCUCGAAAGUGGAGUCCUCUACAAAUUUAUACAGAACAUCUGAUUAAAAUACUCUGACA